rnacentral:misc_RNA from 1 species
AAGGAUCAUUACUGAGUGCGGGCUGCCUCCGGGCGCCCAACCUCCCACCCGUGACUACCAAACACUGUUGCUUCGGCGGAAGCCUCCCCUGGGAGCGACCGCCGGAGACCACUGAACUUCUUUGUUUAAGCAUGAUCUCUGAGCUUGAAUAAGCAAAAUUAAUUAAAACUUUCAACAAUGGAUCUCUUGGUUCCG